UCUGACAGCUCAUGUUCACCUGAAAAAGACUGCAAUGUUUUAAUAAAAAAACACAUUUAUUCACCUAUGCCAAGUGUGUCAAAUUCCAAUCCUGUUUCACUUUCUGUUUCCAUUUACUAAGCUUGUUCUACAGAGACCUGGUAAUGACCCUACUAUACGAGCCUGUUCUGUUGAAGCAGAGAUGCAUUUAAAAGCUGAAGAACACUAGCCUCUGAGAACUGUACCAACAAUAUGACCACAUUUUAAGGUUGUCUGUCCGGUAGACUCAGUUCAAUUGGGGCCCAAAAUUGCAACAGGUGUUACAUUUCAUGCUGCUGCGGUUCACUUUCACACUGCACUGUCAAAUGAGCCAAAAGUUUUGAAAAACCUGUUUCACCUCCUCGUCUGUAUUGGCGCUGCUCUAAGAGUCACUGAAUUGACAUGAAAAUCUUUGAAGACACUAAACAAAACUUCUUACUUUUGUUAGGAAAAUGCAAACAAAAAUGGAGUGGCGUCAUAUUUCAGUGGUUGUAGGAUUUCUCUUUAGCUGAAAACCACAAGCUCCUGCUAGCAAUAGAUUAGAAUGCCCCCUGUGCUGUUAUCUGGUUACUAUUUCUGGAGUGGUCUCUGGUCUGUUUGGCAUUCACAUAUUCACACCAGAGUUUACUUCAAAUGAACAAGACCUAGGUUCGUAGGCGGAGUUUGGUUUUUUAAUCCAAAUCAGAGUUCAGUUUUGCAAUCACACUUCCCCAAAAGAACCAGACUUUCUAGGCAAACAAACUGGAGUUUGAUUAAAGCAGACCAAAUAGGGUUGGUGCGUGAAUGUACCUGAAGAAACCCAGUUCAUUCUCGUGAUAUACAGCAAUUAACACUAUCCAAAUGUGACCUUUUAGGUAUCUGGGAAUAAAAAAAAUACAAAAUACAAUCUUUUUUCUUGACACAAUUAGUAGCAUAAUAUGAAUUAUUCACAUUUGUGCAUCAAAACAUAUGCCUAUACUCUUAAUGGCCUUCAGGGACUGUACUUAAAUUAUGCUUUUCUAGAUGCACUGGCGAUGUAAAGUGCUUUUAAGAGUCAAAGUCACCUUUCAGCACACACAUUAUUACAACAAUAGAGUAGAAUGCUAGUCCAUUCUAGCAUUCUAGAAUUCUAGAAUGCCGGACUAGAAUUCUAGUCCAGCAUUUUAGACUAGACUAGAAUGGAUUGACAACUUGAGCUUCAGUAUCUCAGUCAGUGAGACUAGCAGACAACUGCUCAUUGUGGCCACAGCAACCAUGAGUGAUUUUUACUGAACUCGAAGUAAUAAUGAAAAGGGUAUAAAUAAGCUGCGAUCAACAACCAUAAAAGACAUAAAGAAAAUGUAUGAUAUUGGAUAAAUGAUUUUUAAACAGAAAAUUGGAAAUGGUAAAGAUAUUUUAUUUAAUUAUUGUAUAUUUAUUUGUCUAUCUGAUUGUGGCCAUUCAACUUCUCAUUGUGAUUAUGUACCAGUUCUGUUGCUUAGCUACAUGUUUGAUUAAUUUCUCUCCGUAUCCAGGAUCCUUUCAAGUCUGUCAGCAGUAUUCUUUCAUGCUAAGCUACUGUAUCCAUUUGUGUCUGUCCAACACUUAACUGGAUUUUCAAUGAAUGGAGUCAAUCAUGUUGCACAAUAGACAGUUCUUAGAAAUGCUAAACAGCAUAUUUUGGUCAUAUUUUCCUGUGAAGUAACUGUAUUACUGAUCAAACUUUAUUUAUAGAGCAUGUUUCCAACAACACGGUGUAAUGCAAAGUGCUUUAAAGAGGUUAAGAACAACUUUAGAAAGAAAUAACAGGACCAGAAAGAUUAACUUUAGAUGGCAAAUUUUUCAGAAUAUUACAAAUAUGACAUUUCUUCCAAGUUGGUGUUUUUCAUUGCAGCACCUGACUGCAGGCCUGUUCUGAUUUUGACUACUUUGCAUUAUACAUGUUGGAUCCCUGUGAUUUUAACAACCCUGAUUACUGUGUAAUUAUGUCCACUAUAAUGAUUUACUCUAACACCUUUACAACAUAACAGUUUCCCCCACCCCCGGCCCAGUCAGGAUGACUUCAAACAUUAACUAUGAGUGGGGUGGAUUUUGAAACAACUUUGACCUGAAAAACAUAUUUGUGUUUACGUUCACAGUUUCUGGGAAAGACAUUUCUGAUUACGGCUUCAGACGCAUUUAAAAUGAAGCCGAGGAUCAAAAUGCUGCUGAACCAAUCUGUGCACGGUGUGCUUUCAAUGGUUUAGUAAAUGAAACAGCCUGGGAGAAAUGUCUUGGGUAUGAAAAAUCAAGGUUAAAUAGUAGCAGUGGAUCACAAAGUGUAUCUCUGCUGUAUAAGAUCUACAGAAGAUUAUAAUGAUCUCACCAGGAAUCUUCCCAUUUCACAACAACUCAUAUACAGCAUACUGCUCUUAGAAUGAUCAUGAAGCUAACUUCCAUCAGACUUGGUGUUAAAAACAAUCUGUCCACAGCUAAGCCCAAAACUAUUCAUUCCCCAAGCAGAUUCAGAUUUAAAGUCUUCUUUUAGUUUUGCCAACUUGCUUUAUUCUGACUGAAGGUAAUGUUAAUGGUUUAGAGUGGAUGUAGCCAAAGUCUUGACUUGAAGCUGAUUGAGAAUCUGUGGAGAGAGCUAAAGAUUAGGGUGAUGGUAAAGAGGUGCUCUUGCCUAAAUGACUGAGCUCAUCACCAGAGAUAAAUAAUCAGAAUAGCAGAGAAAACAUGCAAAACAUGCCUUUGGGAAUUUUUGGGGAGGACACACAAAAAUGACAGAAUGUUCAGAACAAUGCUCACAGGAACCUUAAGAGAGAGUGUAAACGUGAAAACAUCUCCACUGUUCUUUGUACACUCCACCAGCUUCCCAUUGCUAUUAUGAUCAUUUACAAAAUUUCCCUGCUCUCUUUUCAUUGUCCACAUGGUAAAGUACCCUCUUACUUAAAAGAUCAAUACCCCUCAUGCAUUCUCUGCUCCUCUUCAUAUUCCCAGGAUUUGCACCCUCCCUCUGCCUCCUCAACUCCACCGACCGUACUACAGACUAUGUCCUUGUAUAGUGCCUUAUCAAGUCAAGAGGACUGAUACUGAUACAUUGUUUUAUUAUCUUUUUUAGAGAUGCCUGUCUCAUUUCUUAUCAGAAACAGGAUAAAAAAAUCUAAAAUAGAAAUCUAGCAGUGGGGAUAAUUGUGAUCUUAACUGUGAAUAACAGUCUAAUAUGUUGGUGGUUUAACAGUUUACGAAAUCUUGUUCUCAUAUCACAAUGUGAUAUUUUUGACUAAGGAUGCUUUAACAAGAUAGAAAACAAUUUUGUCUUAGCCCCACACAAAUUAACAUCUAGGUAAAUUUUAUCUGAGUUUUUAAAAGCUGUUAACAGCAUUUAUUAUUGUAGCUUAGAAUAAUAAUUACUCAUAAAUUCCCAACAGAAUCCCAGUUACAAAAAUCUGACCAAACCUUUAAGUGGGGUACACCAAAAAAUCGACCCUGAUUUCCUUAAUUUUGGGAGAUCAGCGAUCAUUUACAAGUGAAAUCGAUUUUAUCCACUGAUCUUGACAUGACAUCUGUUAUGAAAUGGUGCUGCAUAAACUAAAUUGAAUUAAAUCUGAUCUUCCUUCACAAAGGUCUGAAAAUCAGCGACUGUCGCUUUCUGUUCUGCUAGGAGAGAAGCUGACUGACAGACCCACGCACCAGCUCACGUCUGCAUGUAGGCAGUUAAUCAUUGUCCCACUGUUGCUAACUUUGUCACUAUAUUUAUCAACUUUUCAAACAAAAAAAUGGUAUUGGCCAAAAUUGGAAUCAGUAGGUCAGGCUUUUUAAAGAUCUGUAAUCACCCAAAAAACUCUGAUCAGUGCACCCUUACUUUUAAGAGGGAGUUCAGGUUCACAUUUUGACAACAGAAAGAAAAGAGAGAACUCGUGUUUGAAUUUAGAACACUGAUCAUUUAUUAACCUUCACAUACAUUCCAUGGAAGCACUUAAAUUGCCAUAACAUUUCAUAUCGUUUUCUUUCUAUGAAAGUUCAAGCCCUACCUAUAGACACAUGCUACACUGUUAAAAGUCAUACUCUCAAUUAGUUAUCAUAACGUUUUUCUAUAAGUUACUUCCAAUUAACAUAAUGAGUUAUGUAAUUUCAACUUAAUUUCCUGAGUUAUCGGCAUUUCAACUCGAGGAUGUGAGUCAGUUCAGUGAAACAUAAAUUUAAAUGUGUGAACAUAACUUGACAAUCUGAGUUUUAAAAAGGUAACCGGAUCUUAUAAAAACUGAUCACCACUGGCAAUAUUAAUGCGAGAUACAAAUAGUGCCGGAAAUUCGCUCUUUAUCUGAUAAGGGACUAAAUAUGAUGUAAGAUUUAGUCAGACUUUAUAAAGUUAUCCAUCCAAGUUAGAAUUGCAUAUUAAAUGAAGAAGAGGAACAUCACCUGACCAGAUUAAGGACGUCGAAAGCAAAGUCGCGGAUGAAUACCAAUUUUUCCAAGACCUCUGUCCCAAAGGCGUUCAAAUUCGGCGGGACAUUUUUUUGAAAUGCGAAGCGAGCUGGAGUCAUAGUAAGGUGGUCCAUUAUUUAAAGUUUGGCAAAAACUGUGGAUGAAGUGGAGCUGUCAGUGGCCUGGAUCUGAGACUGCUGGAGGUCUACAAAGCAGCAACCAAAUCUGGAAAGAAGCAGCCACUCAAAGACAUUUUGGACUGCCUUGCAAAAGAUGACACGAAUGAAAGGAGAAGGGCUGCUGCUCUGCUUGGUUUGCCACGCUACAUAUCUGGGGAAGAUCCAUCAACUGUCAUCAGGAUGUGUGACUAAGACAUGUUAUUACAA